CGCCCGUCGCUCCUACCGAUUGGGUGUGCUGGUGAAGUGUUCGGAUUGGCGACCGGGGGCGGUUUCCGCCCUCGGCCGCCGAGAAGUUCAUUAAACCCUCCCACCUAGAGGAAGUAAAAGUCGUAACAAGGUAUUC
rnacentral:rRNA from 1 species